rnacentral:rRNA from 1 species
CCUACGGGAGGCAGCAGUGAGGAAUAUUGGUCAAUGGACGCAAGUCUGAACCAGCCAUGCCGCGUGCAGGAAGACGGCUCUAUGAGUUGUAAACUGCUUUUGUACGAGGGUAAACGCAGAUACGCGUAUCUGUCUGAAAGUAUCUUACGAAUAAGGAUCGGCUAACUCCGUGCCAGCAGCCGCGGUAAUACGGAGGAUUCAAGCGUUAUCCGGAUUUAUUGGGUUUAAAGGGUGCGUAGGCGGUCGGAUAAGUUAGUGGUGAAAUCCAGAGGCUCAACCUCGGAAUUGCCUUUGAUACUGUUCGUCUAGAGAGUAGUUGAGGUAGGUGGAAUGUAUGGUGUAGCGGUGAAAUGCUUAGAGAUCAUACAGAACACCGAUUGCGAAGGCAGCUUACCAAGCUACCUCUGACGUUGAGGCACGAAAGCGUGGGGAGCAAACAGGAUUAGAUACCCGAGUAGUA